ensembl:lncRNA
UGAUAAUACUGGCUCCUGAGCAGAGUGGGAGCCCUGUACUGGGAAGACAGUGUGGAGGAGAGAUGCCCUGUCUGUCAGACCCUCACUGGACGGCCAAGAGACCCAGAGCAGGUGUGUGUGACCUCAGCCCUGAGCCACAGCCCCGACUUCCGGGACAUUCAGAAAAGAUGGUUGUAGGAUAAACUGAGCUGGUGGUGACUGGCACAUAAUAGUUGCUCAAUAAAUGCUGGUUUGCUUUUCCGCACGCUGUCAUGAUGAUGGCAGGGUUUGGUAAAUAUCCAAUGGUUGAAGGAAAGAAGGAGGAUACACAGACGAGAUUCGGGGUGAAUGAACAGGGUACCUAAUUUAAAGGACUCAGCUCAGGAUCUGGAACAUACUGUGUCCUCAGUAAACACUGCGUGGUGUGAUUAUUACCUGUCUAAGGUUCAGUGUGAGUGUAGAGUUGGAGGGGGAGAGGAGACGGGGGAUGUGAGGCUGGAGGAGAGCAAGGAGGCCAGCUGGGGAAAGAUGGGCUGGGCCCCAUAUUUGGACCCCUCCCCACCCCCAGGCCACCUCUCUCUGCAUCUCCAGCUGUAACUGAUGUUAAUGGCGUUCUAGUUUCUAAUCAUUUUUUGCAAUUUGCAAAGUUGUUUCUUUGGUUUCUGUGGACAAAGCUACGCUGUCAGCUCUGCUGGGUUUCUCCCCAUCUUUUCCUCAAAGAUCUUCAUGAAAAUGGUGUUGCAAAAACUGUUGUCUCCUAGUUAAGCAAAAAGAAGAAUAAGAAAAAACCCAGCAUCUUGAAGAGGAGGGGGAAACAGAGAAGAAAGGAAGCCCAGGGGCCCUAGGUCCACAAGACCUCUCACCCUGUGGGGGGAGGUCAGGUGGGCAUCCCAUAGGAAGGACACUUCUACGUGGAGACCUGAUGGACAAAUACGAGUCAGCCAGGGGGCCAGGGGAGAUGCUCCAGGCAGAGGAAACGCAUGCAAAGGCUCAGAGGUCCAAGUGGCCGAAGAAAGGCCUGUGUGACUGGACCAUCUUGAAUGGGGGACGCGGCAGGUGCUGAGGCUGCAGAGGUGGGCGGAGCGGACUGCCCUGGGCUUCAAGGCCAGGUAGGGGCUUUGGGACAAGAACCAUAGGAAGCCAACACAGAGCAUUGAGUUGUGCUUUUAAAGCCCCCUCUGGUGGCCGUGUGGAGAAUGGGCGGUGGAAGGGGAGAGAGUGGAAGCAGCACCAGGGGCACAGGUGAGCAGGAGGGGAGGGACAGAGCCAGGCAGACUUGGGGAGGGGGCUCCAUCAGAGGGAAGGGCAAGGGGGAGGCCUUGAGGCAGGAGCGUGUCCAGGGCUCCAGGUCCAGGAAGGAGCCCAAGGGCUGGAGGCGAGUGAGGGUGGGGGGAGACUGCAGAGCCCCUGGGGUCACUGUCAGUGUAGACUGUGCCGAGUGAGGCAGGGGCCACAGGGAGUGGACAGAGCAGGGACGGCCCCACCCUGAGUCUCACAGGGUCAUCUGGCUGCUGCAGGGAGAGUGACAGGAGCAGGGCCAGGGCAGAGGCAGGGGCCAGGCAGGCGGCCACUGCACCAGUCCAGGUGUGAUGGUGGUGGGACCAGGGUGGGAGCCUGGAGAGAGAGAAGCUCCCGGAUCUGGGGUCACAUGAAGGGCAGCAAAGAGGACAUGAGGAUUAUUCACUCCGCAAAUAUGCAGCAUUAUUACCAUUUAAAACUUUAUACUAUUUUACUGAGCAUCUCCUUAUAGGAGAAAGAUUCAAGAAUGAAAUCCACAGCAGUGUUACUUAUGAGAGUUAAAUAAUUGAAAUCAUCCAAAUUUUUUAAAAGAGAGUUUAGUUAAAUAAAUUAUGGAACAUUAAUUAAAUGAACUAUUUCCAAAAAUAUGUAAUGACAUGGAAAACUGGUCCAGCCAGAAUUUUGGAUAAGAAAGACCCCAGUCUGUUUGCGCAUCAUGUAGAGGACACGGCUGCCGGCUGCCCACAUCCAGUUCCCUUCUGGGCCCCCUGACAGGAGAACAGCACCUCCCCAUCACCUGGGGUCAGGGGCGCCCGUGAGGCUCGCUUUGGUCAAGGAAACAUGAAUGGAGGUGGGGAGUGCCCUUUCCAGGAGCAUUUAAGAUCCAGUGCGCAUGCUCGUGUCCUUUCUGCUGAGGGUGGGCAGAGUCCCUAGGUGUCUGUGGUGAGCAAGGCAGCUCCUGCUGACCACAGAGGGCACGUAACGUGAGCGAGAAACGACCUUUUCUGCUUCAGGAGAGGGAGGAGGUCAUGAUGUCAUGUCCUGGCUUACCCUGACAGCCUGUACUGUAAGCCCUGUAAUUUGGUGUGUUGCCUUGACGUCUUUGACUUUCAUGGGACCUCAAAGGCCUACCUAGAGUUCCUCUGCUCCGGCCGGAUCUGUCCCCACCCAGCAGGAAAGUCUCGCACCCAGCUAGUUCCCCGCUCAGCCAGAACAGCUGCGCUCCACCGGGUCCUCGCCUAAUGGGCUUCAGCUGCAUGAAGUGUGGAAUUGGGCAAACAAACCAAUUACCUCCUCCCGCAGGAACCAGGGGACCUCAACCCCUGGUUCCUACAAAGCCUGCCGCUCACGGCCCUGCUGGUUCUCACUGCUCCCGAGUGCCAGCCUCGUGUGGCCUGCGUGGCGGCAGCAUCCUCCUCUCCCAGGCUGUGAGUGUGCGUGACUGAUGCCCGGCUGCCAGCCCUGUCCUUCCAGUGACAGGUGGUGUGCGUUUAGCUGUUUCAUUCUAUUUAGGAUGGGGAAGCCCUCCUCACCAACGAGGUAAAUGGGAAGGGAUCAGCACAGUCACACCAAUGGGAAAUCAAUUAUGAAAACAUACAUUUGUGUAUAAGUAGAAAAGGAAUGAAGAUAGGCGUCAGCUGCUGUCUUUGGCGGCGAGAUGCUUUAUAUCCAUUUUGCACGUUCCAAGCGUUUUACAGUAAGUAUACAUUACUUAUAUUAAAAGAAAACUCAGUGUUCUUAAGCACCCAGGCCCGGCGAGGCCACCCCGCCCCAGGCCGCAGCUCCUCCCUCGGCUCCUGCUCCCGGGCGCUCGGCGUCUGUCCCGCCCCAUUAGCCCUUUAUUGUGGAUCAUUUUGUUCUCCAAUUUUGCGCCCUUACAAUUUAGCGCGUCAUACACUGUCUUGCUCUCUAACAUUUAAUUUAGUGUCCCUUGGACUCGGUUUCUUCGUCUCUAAGUGCAGUGGAGGCAGAAAGGGAGAACUUCAGAGGCCACUCAGCACCAGCACUCCCUCAGGGCCUGGAGUAAUGAAAGCCAGCACCGUGGGCCAGGCGCCUUGCUGAGUACUUCCUAUGCAUUGUUCACUGGGUUACUUCAACAAUCCCACAAGGAGGAAGUGGUCACACGCCUCUUGCCGUCCCCCCAUUUUAUAGAUGAAGCUCAGAGAGGUUUAGAAACUUGUCCAAAGUCGUCAUGUUACAGAUGAGGAUCUGAGGAACAGAGAGCCCUGUGUUUGCCCAGAGUGCCACCCCCAAGUGCUGCCAGCAAGUGUCAUGUGAGCCCCGGAAUCUGCAUCCCACUGUUUUAUUUUGUCAAUCCUUACAACAGCCAGAUGGAUUCCGUAUUAUGGUGCCCAUUUACAGAGGGGAAAGCUGAUGAGGCUCAGAGAGGUUAAGUAACUUGGCUACUAUCUCACAGUGAGGAAGUGGCAGAGUCCAGGCUGGGAACCAGGGUCAUCCAAAGCCUGUGGUCUAAACACUUAACAACACUGCCUCCCUCCACCAAGCCUGGGGCUCAGGACCAUUAACAGGGACUGAGCCUCCUCUGUCAGGGUGUGGAAUCAGAAUAUAACAACAGCCUCCGGGAGAGGCCCCCAGGGAUCUGCAUUCAGAUGCUGCCCUGAGAGCAGGAGGUCUGAGCAGGGAAGGGAGGGGGGAGCCUGGAACCCAAACAGCAAAGGAGCCCCGGGCCUGGGUGGGCUCCCUGCAGGGGCCUGGGUGACGCGGGCAGCACUGCCAGAGAGAGGCAGCAUCACUUUGUGACUGUGGCCAACACUGUCCACUGGCUGGAGGCUGGUCAGGCACAGCCAGGGUGGCUGGCAGCCGCCUCGGCUCCCAAAAUUCACUAUCGGUCCUAGAUCCUGCGGAAGUUUAUGGUCCAGCAUAAUUCUUCUAAUUGCCAUCGUCAUGGCUAAUAACAUUAUGUGACAGCCAUAAACUCAGAGAGUUGAAGUGGGCCCCGGAGGACAGAACAACUGAAGAUGGUUUGGAUGGGAUUCAGAGGGAGGCAGGAGGGCUCAGGUUGGGGACCAUGGCUGUGCCUUCUGGGGAUGGGUGUCUUUUCACAGAUUCAUUGGAAGCUGCACUCACAGAAGAUCAGGAUGGGCGCAGGGGACGCUGGGUCAUGAGCCGUUCAUCGAUAGAGAUUAUCAGCGCAGAGCUUGAGAUAAUUGUCAGUUGUAAGGUAAGGCUUACAGAAGAAUGGGACACUCCUGGACCCUUAGAACGUCAACAUCACAGGACCCUCAGGGGUGGGCGUGGUAGACACACAGCUGGGUGACCCAACCCAGGCUCCAGAGCCGGCCCAGGCAGGGAGCUUCCAAAUGAUUCUAAUGGAGACCAUCUCAGGCCGACAUCUGAGGACUCUCCCCCGUGGGACCGGGCUGCGUCACUCUCUCCUUCGACCCCAGCCCCUCCAGGACAGGGGUCUCUGCCCAGAAUGGGAGUCAGGGCUUUUAUUGCUUUGGCUCCACUGGGGGCAGGGAGCUGCUCCUCACCCCUCCCUAACGCAGCUCCACUUUCCCGUCCUCACUCUUGCCCCUGCCCGCCAGGCCCCCCGGCCUCUCCUCUCUCACACUGGCUUGUCGCGGGUCCUCCAAGCACAGAGCCCCUCCUGCCUCCAGGCCCUCACGUGUGCUGUUCCCUCUGCCCCGACGGGAUGCCCCUCUUUCUCAUCCCCCCGCGUCCCCAUCUCAUCGUUCAGAUCUCCAUUCUGCUCCCACCUCCACACAAGCCACCUGCGACCCGGCCCGGUCAGGUCCCUGCCCCGUGUUCACAGCCCUGAACCUUUGCUUCAGGGUCACAGUCCCCUUUGCAGUUUGGCGUGAUUGUGGGAUCAUUUGGUAACGGGUCCCGCACUGCGAGCCUGCUGGCCCGGGAGCCCACACAGCCCGGCGCGGAGCACCCAGCCCUGCGGUGGGUCAGAGGACGGCGGCUGGAACCUGACGUCCUGGAGCCCCGUCCGCCUUCACUGACCCGGGGUCGCCUCCCUGAGCCUCGGUGUCCUCAGCUGGAAAUGGGACCCUGGACUCGCGAAAGCGAACCUUGUGUCAUUGCAUCUGAACCCCGAGCUCCGUGGGGGCCGCAGCCCCCGGUGAGCCCCCACUGCCCUGAGCUGAAUAACAUGAGUGAACGAGGGGAGGAUAGAUUAGUGACUGGACGUAAUGGACGUCAAGGUGCUUUGCAAAUACAAGAGAAGGUUCUGGCCGUCACAUGGAGAUGGGGGUGGAAGAGGGUGCAGGGUGGAGGGCAGGGAGCAGAGAACCUGCUGCCCCGCCCCAGCAGGAGUGAGGGGGCCCCGCCCCCCCAUCCUGCUUGCACAGCCUCAGCUCUGUAAAUGUGCCUCCCUGGGCUCCCUCUCCUGCCCCCACAGUCAUCCCCAGGCUGCUGGAGCCCCGACAGCGGGCGCCUCUCCCCGAAGACAGACACAGAGACAAGGCUUUGUCCUCAGCCAUUUUCCCGUAAAAUUUGCUCUGAGAAAGCAGACGGAGGUGGGGCUCAGGCAAGGAGGGGCCAGAGGGGCGGGAAAACAUUCAGGGAGAAGAGGCUUCAAAAUGCAGCUCCGGGUUCUGCAGGGGGACGGGGAUUAAAGGAUCACUUCGAAUGACUUUGGCCAUCAGAGUAAGAGAUUCGUCUCCCCAGAACGCUUUCCUUUGACAGUUGGCUUCAGGGAUUUGACAGAAUUCAUUUCUCCAGCAAAUAAGAUCAAGUUCUCUGGGAGGCUCACAGCAGGGAAGGCCCUGGGCUGCCCUGGGCUCCGAGAGGCUGGCGCUGGGUGGACACGGACGCAGGUGAUGGCACAUCACACCGCAGGGCGUCCCUGCGGGUCCCUCCCCCACUGGGACCCACGACGGCUGCUGUGGCUGAACGUCCUGGUCACGCACAUCCAGCCUCAGUUCCGGAGCGACAGAGAAGGAGCCGCCUUUUCCCAGCGUGGCAGGGACGGUGUGUCUGCCCAGGACGGUCCCUGCCCGAGUGACAGGUGCGUCCGCAGGAGACCCCCGUCCUGCCCACGGGCUCUCUCCCCACUCGUCAUGGGUGGAGACUGCUCUCCUCUCCCAGCCCGGGGCUGGCAGCGCCCCCGGCCCUCGUGGACGCUGGUGGUUCCCUCUCCUCGGCCCGGAACAUCAUCUAUGGAUCACGGGACGUGGGCUGUAAAGUCGGGAUCAUCUGUGUGCUUCCCGUGAGCAGGGGCCACUGGCCUUUCAAUCCCAGAGACUCGGGGAGGGGAGGAAAACCUCAGAGAAAGAGCGGGGGGAGUGAAGAGGGAGGAGGGUGUGCCGGGGAAGUUAAUCCACUGCUCAGACAGGAAAAAAUAU